UUUCACUGUGGGCCUUGUUUCUUGAUUGCAUCCAAAAGCCCAAACACAGUAAAAAACUUCAAACUUCGAAGUCGCUUGAUACACAUCGAUCGAUUGAUUCUCCAUGGCUUAGCGAUAUCCGACUCUGACCCCAAGAAAAGAUUGCAACAUCGGGAAUUUUCUUCAUGAACUCGUUAAGAGUGUGCUUUUUGAGUGUUGAGAAUCGGUUGCUUGCGGCUUUAGGGUAAAUCUGAAUGCUGAGGUUUCAAUUGCUUUGUUCUUGUGUGGUUGUUGUGGGGGAAGCAAAGUAGACAUGAACGGCGUUCAAUGCUUUCAAAUCACGCGUUUCAAUCGCUUGGUGCCCUAACUUGUAUGUACCAGGAACUCUGAGACUCCAUAUGCGUACUUUGGAGGCAUUGCGUCAUCGUGCAACAGAACUGUAAUGCGAUGGAACACUCCUACAGUCAGGGGAAUGCUUCGACAGGUAAAGAGAUUGGUGGUGAUUGAAACAGGAGAGAUGUAUAAGGCACGCAAACAAGUGAAGGCAAACCAUGGAGUUCCUCACACCCCCUUGCUUAUAAACCAUUUGCCUGGACCUGCAAGUGGUUCUUCUUAACUGUCUAUUUAUCACGAGGUCAGUAUUUUAUUAUUUAGAAUGGUUGAAGGGAUUUGUUUGAUGCUCUUUGUUAUAUUGUUAUAAAUUUAGUGUUACUGUUUUGUUUGCUUUGCAUAAUGUUUCAAACUUUCAAUGGGAUCAGCUGUUUGCAUAAGUGGAUGAUUUGGUCUCAAGUCUAAUGUGCCAGACAGGUUCUUCACAAUUAUUAGUAUUACUUUUCAAUGCUGGUGCAAUUUGAUGUUAUAGUCUUAUAGAUAUGUUGCAGCUGAUAAUAUGUAGAAACUUGAGAAAGUGAUGGAAAGAAAAGGAAAUUUGGAGUCUGUUAAUCUGAAAUUGAUUGGCACUUCCUCUGAUAAGAGCAAAGAAUUAAAUGAUCAAAGAUGAUAUUAAAAUUUAGUAA